GUCCCUUUGGGACAUUCGAUAAAAUUAGAACGACAAGAAUAGCAUGGCCUACGCAAGGAUAACACGCACAAAUCGAAAAAUGAUCCAGUUUUUU
rfam:Nicotiana sylvestris Nsyl_contig71252, whole genome shotgun sequence.